GAGUUUGAUUCUGGCUCAGAACGAACGCUGGCGGCGCGUCUUAAGCAUGCAAGUCGAACGGCAAGAAAGGAGCUUGCUCCUUUCCUAGAGUGGCGGACUGGUGAGGAACACGUGGGUAAUCUACCCUUGAGAUGGGGAUAGCCGUUAGAAAUAGCGGGUAAUACCGAAUACACUUAUUAUUUCACAAGAGAUAGUAAGGAAAGGAAGCUACGGCUUCGCUCGAGGAUGAGCCUGCGUCCCAUUAGCUAGUUGGUGAGGUAACGGCUCACCAAGGCGACGAUGGGUAUCCGGCCUGAGAGGGUGAUCGGACACAUUGGGACUGAGAUACGGCCCAAACUCCUACGGGAGGCAGCAGCUAAGAAUAUUCCGCAAUGGACGGAAGUCUGACGGAGCGACGCCGCGUGGAUGAAGAAGGCUGAAAAGUUGUAAAAUCCUUUUGUUGAUGAAGAAUAAAGAUAAGAGGGAAUGCUUAUCUGAUGACGUAUCGCGA
rnacentral:rRNA from 1 species